rnacentral:piRNA from 1 species
UAGUGCAAGGACAGAACACUGAGUGUGCAC